rnacentral:rRNA from 1 species
GACGAACGCUGGCGGCGUGCUUAACACAUGCAAGUCGAACGAAGUGGCGAACGGGUGAGUAACGCGUAAUCAACCUGCCCUUCAGGGGGGAACAACAGUUGGAAACGACUGCUAAUACCGCAUACUGAAGGAGGGGAUUGCGUCUGAUUAGCUAGUUGGAGGGGUAACGGCCCACCAAGGCGAGGAUCAGCAGCCGGUCUGGGAGGAGGAACGGCCACAUUGGGAAUUGGAACCGGCCCAGAAUCCGAGGGGGGGCAGAAGGGGGGAAUCUUCCGAAAUGGACGAAAGUCGGACGAAGCAACGCCGCGUGAUUGAAGACGGCCUUCGGGUUGGAAAGCUCUGUUAAUCGGGACGCGUUACCGGAAUAGAAAGCCACGGCUAACUACGUGCCAGCAGCCGCGGUAAUAC